rnacentral:rRNA from 1 species
GACAGGAGGGUGCAAACGUUGUUCGGAUUUACUGGGCGUAAAGCGCGUGUAGGCGGCUUUACAAGUCGGAUGUGAAAGCCCACGGCUCAACCGUGGAAGUGCAUCCGAAACUGUAUCGCUGGAGUCCCGGAGAGGAAGGUGGAAUGCUUGGUGUAGAGGUGAAAUUCGUAGAUAUCAAGCAGAACACCUGCGGCGAAGGCGGCCUCUGGACGGUGACUGACGCUGAGACGACGAAAGCGGUGGGAGCAAACAGGG